rnacentral:rRNA from 1 species
GCAAACUGGAGAUGGCGACCGGCGCACGGGUGAGUAACACGUAUCCAACCUGCCGAUAACUCGGGGAUAGCCUUUCGAAAGAAAGAUUAAUACCCGAUGGCAUAAUAGAACCGCAUGGUUUGAUUAUUAAAGAAUUUCGGUUAUCGAUGGGGAUGCGUUCCAUUAGGCAGUUGGUGGGGUAACGGCCUACCAAACCUUCGAUGGAUAGGGGUUCUGAGAGGAAGGUCCCCCCCAUUGGAACUGAGACACGGUCCAAACUCCUACGGGAGGCAGCAUG